CUACGUGCCAGCAGCCGCGGUAAUACGUAGGUGGCAAGCGUUGUCCGGAAUUAUUGGGCGUAAAGCGCGCGCAGGCGGAUCAGUCAGUCUGUCUUAAAAGUUCGGGGCUUAACCCCGUGAUGGGAUGGAAACUGCCUGAUCUAGAGUAUCGGAGAGGAAAGUGGAAUUCCUAGUGUAGCGGUGAAAUGCGUAGAUAUUAGGAAGAACACCAGUGGCGAAGGCGACUUUCUGGACGAAAACUGACGCUGAGGCGCGAAAGCCAGGGGAGCGAACGGGAUUAGAUACCCCGGUAGUCCUGGCCGUAAACGAUGGGUACUAGGUGUAGGAGGUAUCGACCCCUUCUGUGCCGGAGUUAACGCAAUAAGUACCCCGCCUGGGGAGUACGACCGCAAGGUUGAAACUCAAAGGAAUUGACGGGGGCCCGCACAAGCGGUGGAGUAUGUGGUUUAAUUCGACGCAACGCGAAGAACCUUACCAGGUCUUGACAU
rnacentral:rRNA from 1 species